rnacentral:rRNA from 1 species
AGCGAACGCUGGCGGCAGGCCUAACACAUGCAAGUCGAACGAAGUCUUCGGACUUAGUGGCGGACGGGUGAGUAACACGUGGGAACGUACCUUUUGGUUCGGAACAACUCAGGGAAACUUGAGCUAAUACCGGAUGAGCCCUUAGGGGGAAAGAUUUAUCGCCGAAAGAGCGGCCCGCGUUAGAUUAGCUAGUUGGUGAGGUAAAGGCUCACCAAGGCUACGAACUAUAGCUGGUCUGAGAGGAUGAUCAGCCACACUGGGACUGAGACACGGACCAGACUCCUACGGGAGGCAGCAGUGGGGAAUCUUGCGCAAUGGGCGAAAGCCUGACGCAGCCAUGCCGCGUGAAUGAUGAAGGUCUUAGGAUUGUAAAAUUCUUUUACCAGGGACGAUAAUGACGGUACCUGGAAAAAAAGCCCCGGCUAACUUCGUGCCAGCCGCCGCGGUAAUAC